AUGAGGUUUCUGGAAGAAUGCUGCAGAUGGAACUCCUAGGCCUUUUUUACUGGAGUCCUAGAGAAGAGAUUUUAGCUUUCUUACCUCUACACGUUGUCUACUUUGUGUUCUAAUGCAUGUGACAUUUUAAAGAUGUGUUAUACUCAGACUGGGGACUGCGCAGAGAAGCAAAAUACAUUCCUCUGCUCUGACUUGGAAGCAGAUGCUGUUCUAAGCAAUUGCUUGUUCCUGUGCUUCCAUUUCUCUGGAACUCUGAGGAGAUGUGAUCGGAUCUGGCCACGUCCAUGAGUAGGGGAGAUGCCUAUGUCAACAAGAUUGCCUGCCAGGGUCAAGCAAGGUGUGACAGUAUGGAUGGGGAACCUACCUGUGACAAAAGCACCUGAGCUCCAGGGAGUGUCCAGUAGUUGGAAAUAUCCCACAUGUGGACAAACUCACCAGUCUCUCCAGAGACCAGGGUGCUGGUAAUUUGGUCACUUGUCAGCCCAAGCACAGAAUCCUAAAGCAGUGAAGAUGGAAGAAACCUUCCCAUCAAGAAUCACAAUCUUUCAUGUGAUGUCAGCAACGUGGCAGAGUGAGCUGCUCCCUUUGUCUCUCUCCCUAUGAAGUACAAUGAAAUGGAUAUUCACUGACCAAUGGAGGAUACCCACACAGUACAACAGGAUGCCUGAGAAACCCAUGCAGCUAUACAUCUGAAGGUGGAUGGACUGGAUCCCAAGGAAGCAGUGGAGAUAGAACUCCUGUCCCUCCUCCGUUCCAGCAGAAGAUUGUGCUAGCCUGAGAGGUGAGACUAGGAAGCACUGUAAAACCACUCAGACCGUACGUUUACUUUCAAAUUGGUUGAUUACACCCGUCUGUGCUUCAAGAAUAGUUGCUUGUGAAGGAAGGUGGCACAACCAGCAAACACCUAAAGGCACUGAGAUCAUCUUCUUUCAACCGCCCUGUAACACCCUUCUAUUACAAAGGCAAGCCAAGAACUGUCGAAAUUAUGUUUUUUCUUUUCCUCUUCAGGAUUUUUAAAACUUGACUUUACCCGGAUAAAGUUUAUUUUUUGAGAAAUGGAGGACCAAAAACUUACCAUGUGACCUUGCUGGUUAGGCAAGUAGGGUUACUACUAAGCCUCAGCAUUUUCUCAGUUUGAUUGGGGAUAAACUGAAUAAAAGAAUAACUGAUAAAAUGGAACCCUGUCAGAGAGUUUUUGAGAGGAUUUGAUGAGAAAAUCUAUGUAAGGCGCUUAGUAAGUUACCUAGAAUACAGCAAAGAUUUGAUCAAUGAUGAACUAUUAUGGAAGUUUCUUUUCAAAACAUCUUUAUCAGUUAGUUGUGAUUCUUUGAUCUUGUACCCUUCACCCUCUUUAAAAUGUCUUAUUGGCUUGCUUUCAUUUUAAGAGCUGUUUAUCUCUUUUUAAGGGCUUUUGAAUAUAAAACAUGGUUAAGAAACUGAAGUAGGAUCUCUUCUGCGGCAGCACCAUGUUCUAAUAUGCUGAUCAAACUGCACUGGUGUUAGGAGGUGAAUCAGGAUGCUGAGCAAUGAGCCUGAGAAUCCUGGCACUGGAUCUGUCCCUGGGUUACUGCAGCUGGUAUAAAUAGCUGUGAAUUUCCAGGUGAUUCCCGAAGGCACCACACCCUAAAGGAGGGAGGUGCAGGAUUUUCUCUGCUAAGGGAAAACAGCCCAAAGAAAACAUCUGUCUCUUCACUGUGGGAAGAGCACCAGGCAUGUUCCAUGGACAGCCAGAGCCAGUGAAAGCAAAGCCCACUCACUGCAUUCUUGCAACAGCUGGGAAUCUGUCCUUGAGCUUCAUAGAUGGCAUUUCCCAGAAUGUCUACACAACGUCCUUGGAGAAUGGCUGUUGGGUAAUUGAUGAUACAGGGACCCCACAGUUGUACAGAGCCAUCAGCCCCUCCCAGGGAAGUCCAGAGAUUUGCAAUAGUCAAAGCAUGUGACCCCCUCGGAGAGUAAACAAUAACACAAGGGUAUGUGAAUGGACAACAGGAUCUAGAAGAGCGGUACUCUCCCAUUGGCCUUUAAAGUGUAUCUUGGAUAUAUCUCAACCCCACCCUUUUAAUACUGCUUUUGUAGUUUUUCCCUUUAGGUUGAUGUCGCUGAUUACCAUGGAUGUUUGGAGGCCGGCAGAGAAUGAAAUGAUCUGGUUCUCUGGAAUGUACUGUGUUGGGAAAUGGCUUCAUGGUAGAGACUGGAGAUGUAGAGAUAGCUCAGAAAGUGGCUGUGCUUUCCUGUAUCCUGGGGUGUGAGGGCAAGAAAUUGAGUAGUAAAUGCUACUUUUUAUUGACAGCUCACUAUCUGUUAGGCAUUGCACAAAGGAUUUUGGAUGCCUUAUCUUAUUUAAUCCUCAUGACAAGUUAGAAGCAGGGGCUAUGAUAACUUCCCUUAAAGAGGUUAAACUUGCUCAUGGUCACACAGCUGGUAUAUAGUAGAACUAGGUAUUGAACAAGACUCUCUGAUCCUAGAGGCUGUACUCUUAACCACUAAGCUAAAAAAUUAUGACUUUUAACUAGGCUUAGAGAAAUAUUGGACAAAGCAUACUUCGAGAGC